ACGGAAGGCAGCAGUAGGGAAUAUUGCACAAUGGGGGAAACCCUGAUGCAGCGACGCCGCGUGAGCGAUGAAGUAUUUCGGUAUGUAAAGCUCUAUCAGCAGGGAAGAAAAUGACGGUACCUGACUAAGAAGCCCCGGCUAACUACGUGCCAGCAGCCGCGGUAAUACGUAGGGGGCAAGCGUUAUCCGGAUUUACUGGGUGUAAAGGGAGCGUAGACGGAAUAGCAAGUCUGAAGUGAAAUCAUAGGGCUCAACCCUGUAAUUGCUUUGGAAACUGUUGAUCUUGAGUACCGGAGGGGCAGGCGGAAUUCCUGGUGUAGCGGUGAAAUGCGUAGAUAUCAGGAAGAACACCGGUGGCGAAGGCGGCCUGCUGGACGGCAACUGACGUUGAGGCUCGAAAGCGUGGGGAGCAAACAGGAUUAGAUACCCUGGUA
rnacentral:rRNA from 1 species